rnacentral:tRNA from 1 species
AGAGGGUUAGUCCAAAUAAAGACCUCUGAUUUCGGCUCAGAAAAUUACGGUUAAAAUCCGCAACCCCCUU